CAAGUAAUCCAGGAUAGG
rnacentral:piRNA from 1 species